rnacentral:rRNA from 1 species
UCGAGGAUCUUCGGCAAUGGGCGCAAGCCUGACCGAGCGACGCCGCGUGCGCGAUGAAGGCCUUCGGGUUGUAAAGCGCUGUCGAGGGGGAGGAAGGCCGUUAAAUCGGCUUGACCUAUCCCUGGAGGAAGCACGGGCUAAGUUCGUGCCAGCAGCCGCGGUAAGACGAACCGUGCAAACGUUGUUCGGAAUCACUGGGCUUAAAGGGCGCGUAGGCGGUCGACCAAGUCCGGGGUGAAAUCUUUCGGCUUAACCGGAAAAGUGCCUUGGAUACUGGUCGGCUGGAGGGAGGUAGGGGCAGGUGGAACUUCCAGUGGAGCGGUGAAAUGCGUUGAUAUUGGAAGGAACGCCGGUGGCGAAAGCGACCUGCUGGACCUCUUCUGACGCUGAGGCGCGAAAGCUAGGGGAGCAAACGGGAUUAGAUACCCCCGUAGUCC